rnacentral:rRNA from 1 species
CAAGCGUUGUUCGGAAUUACUGGGCGUAAAGGGCGUGUAGGCGGCCUUCUAAGUCGGACGUGAAAUCCCUCGGCUUAACCGAGGAACUGCGUCCGAUACUGAAAGGCUUGAAUCCGGGAGAGGGAUGUGGAAUUCCAGGUGUAGCGGUGAAAUGCGUAGAUAUCUGGAGGAACACCGGUGGCGAAGGCGACAUCCUGGACCGGUAUUGACGCUGAGGCGCGAAAGCCAGGGGAGCAAACGGG